rnacentral:rRNA from 1 species
GUAUGGUUAAGUGACUAAGCGUACAGGGCGGAUGCCUUGGCAAUCAGAGGCGAUGAAGGACGUGCUAAUCUGCGAAAAGCUUGGAUGAGUCGAUAAGAGGCGUUUAAUCCAAGAUGUCCGAAUGGGGAAACCCAGU